UACGAAGGGGGCUAGCGUUGCUCGGAAUUACUGGGCGUAAAGGGCCAGUAGGCGGCCAACUAAGUCGGAUGUGAAAUCCCCAGGCUUAACCUGGGAACUGCAUCCGAUACUGGAUGGCUUGAAUUCGGGAGAGGGAUGCAGAAUUCCAGGUGUAGCGGUGAAAUGCGUAGAUAUCUGGAGGAAUACCGGUGGCGAAGGCGGCAUCCUGGACCGACAUUGACGCUGAACGGCGAAAGCUAGGGGAGCAAACGGG
rnacentral:rRNA from 1 species